UUGGGUUGUUCUGUUGGCAGAUUGUAGUUGUGGAGGUUGGAUGAGGUUACGAGCUCGGACAGUGAUUCAGAUUUCUCGUUCCUCCAUCCGCGACUUUUGAAGUUACUUGAGAGGUAGGUUGAGAUGAGUUCCAUCGCACCCGGAUUCGUGUUGUGACAAGAACUUAAAUGGGCAGAAAGAUGGUGUAAAGGCAAGAGUAGUAUGGCUGAGAUAUACAAAAUAGCCGUGGCAGCAACAAUAUAUCAUGUGUGGGAGGAAAGAAACCAAAGGAUAUUUCAGAAGAAGUGUAACAACACUGAUACAAUCUUGCAACAGAUAGCCCAAGAAGUGUAUUUCGGAGCACAUUUGGCUUGUCAAGACCUGUUUUCCUAUUCAUAAACUUGAAGCUUUAAACUGUCAUCCUAUUCGUAAA